rnacentral:misc_RNA from 1 species
AAGUCGUAACAAGGUUUCCGUAGGUGAACCUGCGGAAGGAUCAUUACCAAACUAAAAAGUGCAACGUGGUGUCUGCCUUGGAGCUCUUUGGGCUCUUGGUGCAGCACCCGUUCCUUUUUUUUUUCUGUGAACUGAACUGUUUUUUCUAUUCCAUUCUGUAUUUCGUUUUCUUUUCUCUGGCUACUUUUCACUAUUUCUUAACUUUCAAGUUAAGAAAAAAGGAAAAGAACGUUAGUGAAAGAAGAACAAAAUAACAAAGACAACUUUUAGCAAUGGAUCUCUUGGCUCUU